rnacentral:lncRNA from 1 species
UCCAUCCCUCUUCCUGGAGACCUGAGCUCCUGUUCUCCAUGGUGAUCCAUUCAGUGACUUCUCCAAACUAUCUGGUAACAGUAUUGGCUCAGACCACGGAACUGCCCUUUGAUACCAAUUGCAAGUUCUCUGACCCACUGUGGAUCCAUGCUCAGUCUGCAUACAACACUCAGGUCUAGGCAGCCACGUGGCAUCCUGGCGCUUCAGUGUGGAGGCCAGAAGAGGAGAGGAAUCCUCACCAAACAGUCAG